AACGAACGCUGGCGGCAGGCUUAACACAUGCAAGUCGAGCGCCUCGCAAGAGGAGCGGCAGACGGGUGAGUAACGCGUGGGAACGUACCCUUAUCUUCGGAAUAGCUCUGGGAAACUGGAAGUAAUACCGAAUGUGCCCUUAGGGGGAAAGAUUUAUCGGAUAAGGAUCGGCCCGCGUUGGAUUAGCUAGUUGGCGGGGUAAAGGCCUACCAAGGCGACGAUCCAUAGCUGGUCUGAGAGGAUGAUCAGCCACAUUGGGACUGAGACACGGCCCAAACUCCUACGGGAGGCAGCAGUGGGGAAUAUUGGACAAUGGGCGCAAGCCUGAUCCAGCCAUGCCGCGUGAGUGAUGAAGGCCUUAGGGUUGUAAAGCUCUUUCACCGGAGAAGAUAAUGACGGUAUCCGGAGAAGAAGCCCCGGCUAACUUCGUG
rnacentral:rRNA from 1 species